AUUGAACGCUAGCGGGAUGCUUUACACAUGCAAGUCGAACGAGUGGCGGACGGGUGAGCAAUAUAUCGGAACGUGCCUAGUAGAGGGGGAUAACUACUCGAAAGAGUGGCUAAUUCCGCAUACUUUUGGAGCGGCCGAUGUCGGAUUAGCUAGUUGGUGGGGUAAAGGCUCACAAAGGCAACGAUCCGUAGCAGGCUUAAGAGGAAGACCAGCCACACUGGGACUGAGACACGGCCCAGACUCCUACGGGAGGCAGCAGUAGGGAAUUUUGGGCAAUGGGGGAAAGCCUGAUCGAGCCAUCCCGCGUGUGUGAGAAGGCCUUCGGGUUGUAAAGUACUUUUGGCAGAGAAGCGGUAUCUAAAGAAUAAGCACCGGCUAACUACGUGCCAGCAGCCGCGGUAAUUC
rnacentral:rRNA from 1 species